GAUGAACGCUGGCGGCGUGCCUAAUACAUGCAAGUCGAGCGAACAGACGAGGAGCUUGCUCCUUUGACGUUAGCGGCGGACGGGUGAGUAACACGUGGGUAACCUACCUAUAAGACUGGGAUAACUUCGGGAAACCGGAGCUAAUACCGGAUAAUAUUUCGAACCGCAUGGUUCGAUAGUGAAAGAUGGCUUCGCUAUCACUUAUAGAUGGACCUGCGCCGUAUUAGCUAGUUGGUAAGGUAACGGCUUACCAAGGCAACGAUACGUAGCCGACCUGAGAGGGUGAUCGGCCACACUGGAACUGAGACACGGUCCAGACUCCUACGGGAGGCAGCAGUAGGGAAUCUUCCGCAAUGGGCGAAAGCCUGACGGAGCAACGCCGCGUGAGUGAUGAAGGUCUUCGGAUCGUAAAACUCUGUUAUUAGGGAAGAACAAACGUGUAAGUAACUGUGCACGUCUUGACGGUACCUAAUCAGAAAGCCACGGCUAACUACGUG
rnacentral:rRNA from 1 species